UACGAAGGGUGCAAACGUUGGCUCGGAAUUAUUGGGCGUAAAGCGCACGUAGGCGGCUUGGCAAGUCGGAUCGUGAAAUCCCUCGGCUCAAUCCAAGGAAGUGGCAUCCGAAACUGCUGAGCUUGAGUACUUAAGAGGAUCGCGGAAUUCCCGGUGUAGAGGUGAAAUUCGUAGAUAUCGGGAGGAACGACCAGUGGCGGAAGGCGGCGAUCUGGGAAGAUACGUGACGACUGAGGUGGCGAAAGC
rnacentral:rRNA from 1 species